AGACUCCUACGGGAGGCAGCAGUGAGGAAUAUUGGUCAAUGGGAGAGAUCCUGAGCCAGCCAAGCCGCGUGAGGGAAGACGGCCCUAUGGGUUGUAAACCUCUUUUGUCGGAGAACAAAACCCGGGACGAGUCCCGGACUGCGUGUAUCCGAAGAAAAAGCAUCGGCUAACUCCGUGCCAGCAGCCGCGGUAAUACGGAGGAUGCGAGCGUUAUCCGGAUUUAUUGGGUUUAAAGGGUGCGUAGGCGGUCUGUUAAGUCAGCGGUAAAAUUGCGGGGCUCAACCCCGUCGAGCCGUUGAAACUGGCAGACUUGAGUUGGCGAGAAGUACGCGGAAUGCGCGGUGUAGCGGUGAAGUGCAUAGAUAUCGCGCAGAACUCCGAUUGCGAAGGCAGCGUACCGGCGCCAGACUGACGCUGAGGCACGAAAGCGUGGGGAUCGAACAGGAUUAGAUACCCUGGUAGUCCACGCAGU
rnacentral:rRNA from 1 species